GACGAACCGUGCGAACGUUGUUCGGAAUCACUGGGCUUAAAGGGCGCGUAGGCGGCUUCCCAAGUCCGGGGUGAAAUCUUUCGGCUUAACCGGAAAAGUGCCUUGGAUACUGGGGGGCUCGAGGGGGGCAGGGGCAAGCGGAACUUCCGGUGGAGCGGUGAAAUGCGUUGAUAUCGGAAGGAACGCCGGCGGCGAAAGCGGCUUGCUGGACCCCACCUGACGCUGAGGCGCGAAAGCCAGGGGAGCGAACGGG
rnacentral:rRNA from 1 species